rnacentral:rRNA from 1 species
CACCUCGAUGUCGGCUCAUCACAUCCUGGGGCUGAAGUAGGUCCCAAGGGUAUGGCUGUUCGCCAUUUAAAGUGGUACGCGAGCUGGGUUUAGAACGUCGUGAGACAGUUCGGUCCCUAUCUGCCGUGGGCGCUGGAGAAUUGAGGGGGGCUGCUCCUAGUACGAGAGGACCGGAGUGGACGCAUCACUGGUGUUCGGGUUGUCAUGCCAAUGGCACUGCCCGGUAGCUAAAUGCGGAAGAGAUAAGUGCUGAAAGCAUCUAAGCACGAAACUUGCCCCGAGAUGAGUUCUCCCUGAGACUUUAAGUCUCCUGAAGGAACGUUGAAGACGACG